GACGAACGCUGGCGGCGUGCUUAACACAUGCAAGUCGAACGAUGAAGCCCAGCUUGCUGGGUGGAUUAGUGGCGAACGGGUGAGUAAUACGUGAGUAACCUGCCUUUAACUCUGGGAUAAGCCUUGGAAACGGGGUCUAAUACUGGAUACGACCAACCCUCGCAUGGGGUGUUGGUGGAAAGGGAUUUUGUACUGGUUUUAGAUGGGCUCACGGCCUAUCAGCUUGUUGGUGAGGUAACGGCUCACCAAGGCGACGACGGGUAGCCGGCCUGAGAGGGUGACCGGCCACACUGGGACUGAGACACGGCCCAUACUCCUACGGGAGGCAGCAGUGGGGAAUAUUGCACAAUGGGCGCAAGCCUGAUGCAGCGACGCCGCGUGAGGGAUGACGGCCUUCGGGUUGUAAACCUCUUUCAGCAGGGGAGAAGCGAAAGUGACGGUACCUGCAGAAGAAGCGCCGGCUAACUACGUGCCAGCAGCCGCGGUAAUACGUAGGGCGCGAGCGUUGUCCGGAAUUAUUGGGCGUAAAGAGCUUGUAGGCGGUUUGUCGCGUCUGCUGUGAAAGCCCGGGGCUUAACCCCGGGUUUGCAGUGGGUACGGGCAGACUAGAGUGCAGUAGGGGAGACUGGAAUUCCUGGUGUAGCGGUGAAAUGCGCAGAUAUCAGGAGGAACACCAAUGGCGAAGGCAGGUCUCUGGGCUGUAACUGACGCUGAGAAGCGAAAGCAUGGGGAGCAAACAGGAUUAGAUACCCUGGUAGUCCAUGCCGUAAACGUUGGGCACUAGGUGUGGGGAACAUUCCACGUUUUCCGCGCCGUAGCUAACGCAUUAAGUGCCCCGCCUGGGGAGUACGGCCGCAAGGCUAAAACUCAAAGAAAUUGACGGGGGCCCGCACAAGCGGCGGAGCAUGCGGAUUAAUUCGAUGCAACGCGAAGAACCUUACCAAGGCUUGACAUAUACUAGACCGCCUCAGAGAUGGGGUUUCCCUUCGGGGCUGGUAUACAGGUGGUGCAUGGUUGUCGUCAGCUCGUGUCGUGAGAUGUUGGGUUAAGUCCCGCAACGAGCGCAACCCUCGUUCUAUGUUGCCAGCACGUAAUGGUGGGGACUCAUAGGAGACUGCCGGGGUUAACUCGGAGGAAGGUGGGGAUGACGUCAAAUCAUCAUGCCCCUUAUGUCUUGGGCUUCACGCAUGCUACAAUGGCCGGUACAAAGGGUUGCGAUACUGUGAGGUUGAGCUAAUCCCAAAAAGCCGGUCUCAGUUCGGAUUGGGGUCUGCAACUCGACCCCAUGAAGUCGGAGUCGCUAGUAAUCGCAGAUCAGCAACGCUGCGGUGAAUACGUUCCCGGGCCU
rnacentral:rRNA from 1 species